rnacentral:lncRNA from 10 species
CAGCAUUUCAUCAUAUGUUCUCAGCAACUGCAUGAAAAGAAGCUUCUUUCCCAUUCCAUCUAUCAGAAGCCCCCGGUACCAGGCUCUAAAAUGACCAACCUGGGUCAAGUGUUCAUUCUUGUACUCUUCUCUAUGGCCAGAGGUUCACAGGUGCUGUGAUGUCUUUCACAGGCAAUGGAUAAAGCAUCCUGCAUUGUCCUAGGCACACUCUGUAGGGAAGAUAUGGGAAUCUGAAGUCAACUUUGCCAAAAUUGUGAGGAUUGCUAAUGUGAGAUGAGAAUCUACUCACAAACAUUAAGAAGGUAACAUGAUGAGUGAAGUAAAGGUAGGUUAUAGUUGAAAGAGCCACAGGAAACUCUGUGUCCUUGCUUCCCUUUCACGCGUAUGGACUCAUAUUCCAUGAUUGAAAGGGGCUGCUACUAAGAGAAAGCAUGCUCUCAGAUAACCGUUUUCAGAUAACGUCGAGAAAGUGAGAGUAUACACAGAUCAACAUGAUGGUCCACUUAACGGGGGAAGAGAGUAAAAUGUUGGUGUCACUGACAAGGAUGGCAACAUUUAAAUGUUCAGAUCCUUACAGGAGAAGCAUUGCAGUCACUUGACAAUCUCAAGCUAUGUGUUUCUUCAGUGCUUCUUGAAAACAUUUAUAAUACAGAAGAUGGUUUUAAAAAAUGUAUAACUUUUUCAAUGAAAAUGUGAAUUUCAACACCUUAAAAAGCAUAUUAUACUACUGUGAAGUGCUCAUGGUUCAUUUUAUUUAACUCACCUUCUAGAUAACUUCUUAGAAAAAUAGGACUCAAUUUAAUUUUAAAAUCAUUUUAAAAUUACAUGAAAUGACAUAAGGAGAUGAAUGCAAUAGUUGCUAAUGUUUCUUGGAGGAGUCAUGGGGCAAA